GGGGUUGUGGCUCAGUGGUAGAGUGCUUGCCUAGCAAGCACUAGGUUCAAUCCUCAACACUA
rnacentral:tRNA from 1 species